CAUUCUGCCCAUGCGGGAAGGAUGAGAAGCUUCGACUAAGGUUCGACUCGAGCGUCAGCGAGAGAACGUUGCCGCAGGCAACGGCCCGGAGGGUGAGCAGCAACGCUGCGAAUAAUCCUUCCCCCGCCACCA
rnacentral:sRNA from 1 species